rnacentral:lncRNA from 1 species
GCCGAGCGCCUCCGCCGCCGCCGCCGCCUCCUCAUUCAAGUCCAAGGAGAUCGGGUUUCGCUCCGAGACCGCGGCCGGAGGCAGGCAGACGGUCUGACGUCAGCGCUAGACGGGGCUGCCGGUUCCCACCGCGCGGGGGCCGGGGAGGGGGCGCGCGCUGCGCCAAUCCCCGCCGAGGUUCCCCCGCACCCCCUUCCCGGGCCGCGGGGCGGGGUGACGGGGAAGGGGGCGGGCUCUUAAAGGGCCAGAGCGAGGCGGCCCGCGUAGACCCGGGGCGGCGGGGCGGGGGGCCGCGCUGCGCCUCCGCGCCUCCUGGGCCGGUUUGGAGCGCGUGGCCCGACCCGCGGGCCCGGGGAAGCGCGGCUCGCAGGCAGCCUCGCCCCUGGGUCCCGGGGUCCUCGCCCCAGGUUUAGGGGAAGCCUGUCCUCUCCCGGAGCAGGUCCCCGGACUCAGGGCGCGGGGAACUGGACAAGACGAGGGGCGCCCCCCAUCACCAUCACCUAACAUCGAGGCCUCGAGGCCCCUGGCGCCCCCCGCUGCGCACUUUACCCCGACCCCCAGGAGGUCGCCCGGGGGAGGCUGGAAUUCGUGUCGACACGCCCCGGACGGCUCCGAGAACCGCCCGGGAGCCCUUGUCAUCCCAUCGGACAAACUCUCGGGAGCUUGGACCCUUUCUGCUGGGCACUCAGGAUGCCAGGAACAACCCCUGCCCUCUAAAUCUCUCGCAGAGGCUCCAAGGCUGUCUGGCAGUGAAAAAUCCCGCACUUCGUCUUGGAAAUGAAGCAGCAUUUACUCAAUCAAGACUGAACCACCAGCAGACAAAAAUAACCAGUGAAUUCAAUGGAUUAAAAAAAAAAAAAAAACCCGCCUUAGCCACAACAUUGACCUCUGGUUGAUCUGCCUGGGACAACAGCACCGGCCACAUUUCCUGAGCACCUACAGUAUGCCAUCACUGCUCUAACUAACGGUGGCCCUGGGACUGGUUCGUGGUCUGUGCCCUGGUUCCAACGUUGGUUCUGCUGGGGGUCUGAAGUGGGGUGUCGGGCACGGAGGCCACAACCGCAUCUCUAAAGAUGGGUGGGACGCGUGACCUUGGCAAGUCCUUUCACCUGUCCCACCUCAGUUACCUCCUCUGCAAAAAUGGCCUCCCUAAUGGUGUCCUUGACCGGGGUGAUGGUGAGUGACGAAUAAAGGAGUCAGUGCCGC